rnacentral:rRNA from 1 species
GACGAACGCUGGCGGCGUGCCUAAUACAUGCAAGUAGAACGCUGAAGAGAGGAGCUUGCUCUUCUUGGAUGAGUUGCGAACGGGUGAGUAACGCGUAGGUAACCUGCCUUGUAGCGGGGGAUAACUAUUGGAAACGAUAGCUAAUACCGCAUAACAAUGGAUGACCCAUGUCAUUUAUUUGAAAGGGGCAAAUGCUCCACUAUAAGAUGGACCUGCGUUGUAUUAGCUAGUAGGUGAGGUAACGGCUCACCUAGGCGACGAUACAUAGCCGACCUGAGAGGGUGAUCCGCCACACUGGGACUGAGACCCGGCCCAGACUCCUACGGGAGGCAGCAGUAGGGGAUCUUCGGCAAUGGGGGCAACCCUGACCGGGCAACGCCGCGUGAGUGAAGAAGGUUUUCGGAUCGUAAAGCUCUGUUGUAAGUCAAGAACGAGUGUGAGAGUGGAAAGUUCACACUGUGACGGUAGCUUACCAGAAAGGGACGGCUAACUACGUG